AUACGGAGGGUGCAAGCGUUAAUCGGAAUUACUGGGCGUAAAGCGUACGUAGGCGGUUCGUUAAGUUAGAUGUGAAAGCCCCGGGCUUAACCUGGGAACUGCAUUUAAAACUGGCGAACUAGAGUUGAGUAGAGGGGAGUGGAAUUUCAGGUGUAGCGGUGAAAUGCGUAGAGAUCUGAAGGAACACCAGUGGUGAAGGCGACUCCCUGGACUCGAACUGACGCUGAGGUACGAAAGCGUGGGUAGCAAACGGGAUUAGAAACCCGAGUAGUCC
rnacentral:rRNA from 1 species